AUGUGGCCCAACACGUCUUGCACCUUAUCCUCUUCUGGAGCGUCGCGAGCCAUCCAAAUCCAUCCCUAUCUUCUCGUUCCCUUCCCGCGUCUCUCUCCCUCUCGUUCUCCUCUGGCCAUGGAAGCGCCACCCACCUGCUCCCAGCAGACUGCCGCCUCGCCGUCGCAACUACUGCAAGGGCAGCCACCGGUAGCUGCAAAGGCAACGCGUGCACUAGUGCAGAAAGCGACUGCCGACGCAGCUAGCAGGGCCUCAGGCGCCAAUUUUGCAGAUGGGUGUGCCCGUGCCCGCCUCGCCGGAGUCGCGUGA
rnacentral:rRNA from 1 species